AACAAAAACAAACAGCAGCUUCCUCCCCUUCUUUUCUUAGCUGUCACAGAAAUAGCAGCAGCCAGCCCGAGCCGCACAGCUGCUCCCGCAGAGACGCACAGAGAUGGAGGCCGAGAUACGGGGAGGCGGGCUGGGGGAGGCGGAGAGGGGGGAGAGACAGAGGCGCCGGGUUUUUGUGUGAUGCUUUUUCACCGUGGGGACAGGGGGCCACGGUGAUACAACCCCAUAGAGGCGCCGUACAAAAACCUCCUCCCAUUAACAUCCAUUAUGUAGACGGCUGAGUGGAUCUCAGAGCGCCUCAGAGAGCAGGAAAAUGAAUCAUGUGAAGCGUGUCUGAAGAAGAUGAUUCUGGAAGCUUUUUGGACUUUUUGGUGGAUGAGAAAUUCACUGUGACACUGGAUCUGAAGCUUACUUUGGAAAAGGAACAAGACUCACAGUUUUGGGUAAGUUGGA